UACGGCCAUAUCACAUUGAAACAUUGGUUCUCAUAUAUAUCCCUGAAGUUAAGUAACCUUAAGCCUAGUCAGUACCUAGAUGGGUGACCACUUGGGAAUACGAAGUACGGC